rnacentral:lncRNA from 1 species
CUCAGUCAUAAGGCGCUCCUCCCUCUCAUUCGUCACAGUAGCCUAUGACGUAGCCCAAAUCUAUAAUUCGCAUUCGCUUCGUCUCCGUUGUGUUGUAUCCAGGUUAGACUUGGUUUCUCGUCUUUGGGUAUAUGUUUUUCUCAGUUAAUUUAUAAUUGUCUGCUCAAAAUUCAUGAAUAAUGGCAUGGGCUGCAUUAUACUAAAUUGCUUGGUUGACAGGCGAUUUCAAUAGGGAGAAGUUGCUAUCACAUCGAUUGCUUCGAUCAGUGAAUAAUCGUUUUAGAUCCACAGUUUGGGUAUUAGAUGGAUUUAUUCACAAUUCUUAAUCUUUUGAUGGUCUAUCUUUCUGGAUGCAAAAUAAGUGCAUAAUAGUAUAAUACAUUAUAAACAUCAUAAACGGUCUUCAAAUUUUUAAUUGAACAAUUUGAAGUGUGCAAGCAAAUAAAAGAAAAACUUAUAAACUAUAAUUUUUGUUGGUAGAGGCAAUGUGGAGUACUCCCAAAUUGGGUCUGUUAGAAAUAAUUCUUUAAUAUUUUAGUGUGCAGUGCGCUAUUAUCAACAGGGUUUAUCAGAUUAUAUCUUUUGUGGGCCAAAAGCACUGAGGCUGUGCUGUGAGGUGUAUGUCUCACACAACUGAGGCAUACGCCUCCUAAAACCAUCUAACAAUCAGCGUCUUGAGGCCUUUUUUGCACGCCUCACAAGCCUUAAGGUGGAUUUCAAUUGGGUGUUUCAAACCAUGAUUAGUAUUCAAUGCAAAAGGAGAGAACAACUAGUUGUUAAUAACUGAGUAUUGAAGCAAGAGAUAGGAAAGAAAUAAAAAGCGAUUGUCCCAGCAGAGGACCGUGAUGAUAAGAUGACACACUCUUCUUGGAUGCCUUAAGGAGUUUUGUCCACACCUGGGAGGUUUAAGAUGCGAACCGUCUCAAUGUAUGAUGGAGAGGGGCUCUUGCUAAUCUCCCACACACAUAAAAUGUAAGUAACGUUGAAUGGAGCCAAUGUCGCUUGAAGUGCUGAGCUUUCAUCCUCGCGUAACUAGGAGCCACAAAUCGAUGGUUCAAAAAGUUGAGGCUUAAAAGUGUUGUUAGUUGGCCCAAGGUGUUCGUCAUGUUCAAUCCAAUAGUUGAAACGAUUUUAAGUAUUUCAAAUUUUUUUGUUAACAUGUCAAGCAAUUUUAGAGAUCACAUUACACAAUAUUUGAGACUAUGCCAAGUAGUGUUGCUUAAAAGUGAUUGAGAACACAUUAAGCAUGCAUUUGUCUUUUCUGGCAUUAUUAAGGCGGUGAUAAGUUUAUAUUUUUUUACAGGAGUUUUGAUCACUUUAAAGCAAUAUUUUUCCAUGCCAAUCAACAGGUACGCCAAGAUCAAAGUUAUGGUAGAG